CGAACGGUGUAUUUAUGCAGUGGCGGACGGGUGAGUAACGCGUGAGAAUCUAGCUUUUGGUGGGGACAACCAUUGGAAACGAUGGCUAAUACCGGAUGAGCCGCAGGUAAAAGAUUUAUGCCAAGAGAAGAGCUCGCGUCUGAUUAGCUAGUUGGUAGGUAAAGCUACCAAGGCAUCGAUCAGUAGCUGGUCUGAGAGGACGAUCAGCCACACUGGGACUGAGACACGGCCCAGACUCCUACGGGAGGCAGCAGUGGGGAAUUUUCCGCAAUGGGCGAAAGCCUGACGGAGCAAACCGCGUGAGGGAGGAAGGCUCUUGGGUCGUAAACCUCUUUUGUCAGGGAAGUGACGGUACCUGAAGAAUCAGCAUCGGCUAACUCCGUGCCAGCAGCCGCGGUAAUACGGAGGAUGCAAGCGUUAUCCGGAAUUAUUGGGCGUAAAGCGUCCGCAGGUGGUUUUCAAGUCUGCUGUCAAAGUGGGCUUAACCCGUCAAGGCAGUGGAAACUGAACUAGAGUCUCAAGGGGUAGAGGGAAUUCUCGGCGUAGCGGUGAAAUGCGUAGAGAUCGGGAAGAACAUCGGUGGCGAAAGCGCUCUACUGGAGAGAACUGACACUCAGGGACGAAAGCUAGGGGAGCGAAUGGGAUUAGAUACCCCAGUAGUCCUAGCCGUAAACGAUGGAUACUAGGUGUGGCUGUAUCGACCCGGCCGUG
rnacentral:rRNA from 1 species